AGAGUUUGAUCCCUGGCUCAGGAUGAACGCUGGCGGCGUGCCUAAUACAUGCAAGUCGAGCGAACAGACGAGGAGCUUGCUCCUCUGACGUUAGCGGCGGACGGGUGAGUAACACGUGGAUAACCUACCUAUAAGACUGGGAUAACUUCGGGGAAACCGGAGCUAAUACCGGAUAAUAUAUUGAACCGCAUGGUUCAAUAGUGAAAGACGGUUUGGCUGUCACUUAUAGAUGGAUCCGCGCCGCAUUAGCUAGUUGGUAAGGUAACGGCUUACCAAGGCAACGAUGCGUAGCCGACCUGAGAGGGUGAUCGCCCACACUGGAACUGAGACACGGUCCAGACUCCUACGGGAGGCAGCAGUAGGGAAUCUUCCGCAAUGGGCGAAAGCCUGACGGAGCAACACCGCGUGAGUGAUGAAGGUCUUCGGAUCGUAAAACUCUGUUAUUAGGGAAGAACAAAUGUGUAAGUAACUAUGCACGUCUUGACGGUACCUAAUCAGAAAGCCACGGCUAACUACGUGCCAGCAGCCGCGGUAAUACGUAGGUGGCAAGCGUUAUCCGGAAUUAUUGGGCGUAAAGCGCGCGUAGGCGGUUUUUUAAGUCUGAUGUGAAAGCCCACGGCUCAACCGUGGAGGGUCAUGGAAACUGGAAAACUGAGUCAGAAGA
rnacentral:rRNA from 1 species